GGUUGGGCAUCCGCUUUUGCACCAAUCGCAGGUGAGGGAGUGGGGCAAGGCAAGGGGCCUUGCAGCCCAGCUGGCCUUGAGACUGAGUGUCUGUCUCGUGGUUCCAGGUCAGCCCUGUAUUAUGUGGACCUCAUCGGGGGGAAGUGUGAGCUCCUCUCGGAUGACUCCCUGGCUGUCUCUUCUCCCCGGCUGAGCCCAGACCAAUGUCGCAUUGUCUACCUGCAGUACCCAUCUCUGAUCCCCCAUCACCAAUGCAGCCAGCUGUGCCUGUAUGACUGGUAUACCAAGGUUACCUCAGUGGUGGUAGAUGUUGUGCCUCGGCAGCUGGGAGAGAACUUCUCUGGGAUCUACUGCAGCCUUCUGCCUUUGGGAUGCUGGUCAGCUGACAGCCAGAGAGUGGUCUUUGACUCGGCUCAGCGCAGCCGGCAGGACCUGUUUGCUGUGGACACCCAAGUGGGCACUGUGACCUCCCUCACAGCUGGUGAGCAAGGCUUUGGGGAUGGGGGUAAGGGCAGGGCUGGUGAGCAAGCCAACCAGGCAGCGGGGGACUGGAGCUCCAACAUGUGGGGCAGUGAUGGCAUUCUCAGCCACUCAGCACCACUGACUGUUCCACAGCCUUUACUAACAGGUCUCCAAGGCCCCUGUUUGUGCAGACCCUUACCCAACCAACAGACUAGCUUCCCUGCUCUACUACCCUUUAGCACUCAACUCUGUUCCAUGUGUCCUGGCCCAGCCUCAGCACGGCCCCCACCUCUGCUCCUAAAACCCACAAAACUCUCUCUUAUCAAGAUCUGCCAGACUCAUCCUUCUCACUCUGCAAACCUUGGGUGCCUGUCUCAGGCAGAGGCAGCUCUGCCACCUGAGGGCCCAGGAAAAGCCCAGUGUUGACUCCCCCGUCUUCCCCAUACUUAGGCCUGGUGAUUCUGCCUUUGAAAUGUGUUUUGAGUCCUCCACCUGACCUGACUGUAUCCGCUCUCCACAAAGCUACCAAAGUAUCAUUCCAAAGCUACAUCUCAUUGUACAACUGCUUGGACACCACUGCCCCAAAUCAGCACGCUCCCCCACCCCCAACUUCCCGGUCCCAGCUGCCACCCUGCACACAGCAGCCAUCGAGGG
rnacentral:sRNA from 1 species